rnacentral:rRNA from 1 species
GAUCAUGGCUCAGGAUGAACGCUAGCUACAGGCUUAACACAUGCAAGUCGAGGGGCAGCAUGAACUUAGCUUGCUAAGUUUGAUGGCGACCGGCGCACGGGUGAGUAACACGUAUCCAACCUGCCGAUGACUCGGGGAUAGCCUUUCGAAAGAAAGAUUAAUACCCGAUGGCAUAGUUCUUCCGCAUGGUAGAACUAUUAAAGAAUUUCGGUCAUCGAUGGGGAUGCGUUACA